rnacentral:rRNA from 1 species
GAAUAUUGGACAAUGGGCGCAAGCCUGAUCCAGCCAUGCCGCGUGAGUGAUGAAGGCCCUAGGGUUGUAAAGCUCUUUCACCGGUGAAGAUAAUGACGUUAACCGGAGAAGAAGCCCCGGCUAACUUCGUGCCAGCAGCCGCGGUAAUACGAAGGGGGCUAGCGUUGUUCGGAAUUACUGGGCGUAAAGGGCGCGUAGGCGGCGCAUUAAGUCAGGUGUGAAAGCCCUGGGCUCAACCCAGGAAUAGCACUUGAUACUGAUGCGCUUGAAUUCGGGAGAGGAUGACGGAAUUCCCAGUGUAGAGGUGAAAUUCAUUGAUAUUGGGAAGAACACCAGUGGCGAAGGCGGUCAUCUGGCCCGUAAUUGACGCUGAGGCGCGAAAGCGUGGGGAGCAAACAGG